AGUUCAAAAUAACAAGAGCUGCACUUCUCAUUUGUGAGAGGUCCAAUAUGAGCUGAAGCUUGGGUUGUUUAAUCGACGACAACAACAACGACGACGACGACAACCACCCCACCACCACCAACAACACCACCAAAAACCAAAACAAAAGACGAAGAUGGGGACCCAAGCUGCGACGCUUCGUGCCGAUUGAUAUUUUGAAUAGAUGUUUGUUUGUUGGGCUCACA
rnacentral:misc_RNA from 1 species